AUAAUUUUCAUCUUCAUAGAAACUGGGAUCAAAAUAAAACUAGGAUAACAUUUUUGUAUCUCCAGCAGCAACACAAAGUUUGAUUCCUGCACUGUGAUAUUCUGGAUCUUUGCUAUUGACAGUGAAUAUGAAAAGUUUGAGAAGAAAACAUUAGAAGGAAGAGGGAGAAAUGGUUUCAGCGUUGGCGUUGUUCAAACUGGAGAGAAAUGUGAGACUGAACCAUCCAGAAGCUUGAGGAAGGGAGCAACCAUCCUGCUUCUCCUCACUGCCUGCCCAGGGUCAAGAAAGAGAUGGGGGGUUCUGAAGAAAAUAAAUAAAACAUAGGAAAGAGUGCACUUCUGCUCAUCUCCCAACACCUUUUCUGUUCACACAAAAGCCUUCUUGCAACAGAUGACCUCUAUCCCACAGACAAUUUAAAGACUGAAAUAUGAAAGGCACAAGGUGGGACCCAAAAUAACAAAGAGGGAGGAUGACAUACAGGAAGAAAAAAAGGAGAGUGGAUGCAACAAAACAAGUGAUUUAAGUCCAAAAGCACUGGAGUAAAGGAUGAGGAAGAAAAAGCAUGGAAGCAACAUGAAGUAAAAACAUUGGAACAUAUACUGAACAAAAGCCCUCUGCCCUACCAGGUCACCUCAACCAGUUGACACAUGGCACUUUGACUUGUCUGUACAUCCAAAAAGCUUCUACUAACGUCUUUAACUAAGAGCUUAGUAAAAAAAGAUCAUUUUUUUCUUGUCUAAACCAGAUGACUAAAGCAAUCUUCUAAUAAAGCAAAAUCAGUUAUUGAUUCUA